AACGGGUUAAUAUUCCCGUACCGUUUUUUAUUGAUAUCGAGGGACGGAGAAGGCUAAGCUAGCCGGAUAUUGGUUUUACCGGUUUAAGCGUUCAAGAUGUUGAGAAGCGGCGAAAACGCUUUGAGUUGAGACGUGAGUACGAGACGCUAAGGCGUCGAAGUAGUGGAUGUCAUACUUCCAAGAAAAGCUUGCACUGUCAUAAAUAAAAAACGCCUGUACCAUAACCGACACAGGUGGGUAGGUAGAGUAUACUAAGGGGCGCGAGAUAACUCUCUCUAAG
rnacentral:rRNA from 1 species